AACGAAUGUGAACGAAAUGCUUCCUGUCAUACAAAUGCAACUUGCACAAACGUUCCUGGAUCUUUCUACUGCGCUUGCAAAGCAAACUACAGUGGUGAUGGCUUCUUUUGUGAAGUGUUGACGUGCAAAGUGGAAGCCAUAUACUAUGCAACAACCGAUGCUAUCAAAGGCGUAUUCUCUGACGGUAACACGACUGUGACCAUAUUAUCAGCAACCGACGUGAAACUAAAUUAUGAUUCUGGGACUAAAAGACUCCUCUACUACGAUGGCACCAGUCUUACCACAGUUAAACUGGACGGAAGUAAUGCAACCACGAUAGCAUCUCUCACGACCAUCUCUAGGUUUACAGUAGAUCAUAUAACAAGAAAGGUCUACUACGUUACUGGACUAUUCAAAUCAAUACAUGUUAUUGACUUGAAUACUGGAAAUACAGCGGAGCUUAAUCCAACCAAUAUUGCUAAUGUUGACGACUUGGAUAGUGAUCCAGAUAACAGUUCCCUUGUAUUGGCUGACGCCACCAGAGGAGACAUUGUUCGUUAUUUUCUCGACAAAGACACA